rnacentral:rRNA from 1 species
AUUGAACGCUGACGACAUGCCUAACACAUGCAAGUCGAACGGCAGCACAGUAAAGAUUUCGGUCUUUAUGGGUGGCGAGUGGCGGACGGGUGAGUAAUGCGUAGGAAUCUGUCCUGGAGAGUAGGAUAACCCGAGGAAACUCGGGCUAAUACUGCAUGAUAUCGAGAGAUCAAAGGCAGGGGACCCUUAGGGGCCUUGCGCUCUAGGAUGAGCCUACGUCGGAUUAGCUAGUUGGUGGGGUAAAGGCCUACCAAGGCGACGAUCCGUAGCUGGUCUGAGAGGAUGACCAGCCACACUGGGACUGAGACACGGCCCAGACUCCUACGGGAGGCAGCAGUGGGGAAUCUUGGACAAUGGGGGAAACCCUGAUCCAGCGAUGCCGCGUGUGUGAAGAAGGCCUUCGGGUUGUAAAGCACUUUAGCUGGGGAAGAAAAGUAAUGAGUGAAUAACUGAUUGCUCUGACGGUACCCAAAGAAUAAGCACCGGCUAACUCUGUGCCAGCCGCCGCCGUAA